ACUCAGCCACCAAGCUACUUAUUUAAAUGCCUUGAAAAGAAUGAACAGGAGCUGACGCAGAGAGAAACUGACUGAAGAGCAGCCUUGCUACAAAAGCUGGGGGGCUGUCAGAAAAGGCCCAUCUGAGGGGAUACUUUGAAACUGAGACGACAGCACCCUUAAGGAUAAGAAGUUGGCAGCCUCGUUCUCGGUGACUAUCCAUUCUCCGUGUUGAUGGGCAUCGUCAUGGCUCGAGCUGAGCCUACCCUGAAUGAGGCUGUUUUACUCUUCUGGAGGUUGCCAGGUCCAACA
ensembl:lincRNA Gm11466 predicted gene 11466